UGCAUAAUAAUUAACAUUCAAGAGACGGACUCUGUCCCUGAAGUUUUUCUGUCUAGGACCAGGCAGUGAGCCGGUCGGAUGGGUGAGAAAACGCAAAUCUAUGUGAAUCCAGAGGCACCGGGUAAUGCUGUGCUGUUCUGUGCUGUGCCGUGCUGCUGUGCCGUGCUGCUGUGCCAUGCUGCUGUGCCGUGCUGUUCCACAGCCGGCCCUUUCUGGCUCCCAGGACUUCCAACUGGAGGAGAGAUCUCAAAUGCCGAGCUGCUGCUGAAUGCGGUGCUAGAAUGUCUGGAAUGAAACAAGAAGUCCCUCUUCUGUGAAAUAGAUCAACUUUCUACUUGGGUCAAGAUUUUAAUGUGUGUGGGUGCUCACGUGCGCAUGCGUGAAUUCAGGUGCCUGUGGAGGCCAGGAAGACGGAGCUGGGUAUCCUGGAGACGGUGUUGCAGAUGGUUGGAAGCCCAGCUCAGGUCUUCUGCAAGAACAAUACAUCCUCUUCACCACUGAAUCAUCUUCCCGG